AGUUCUUUUCCUAUUAGGCUUAAAAUGUUAGCUUCAUGAUACUGAAACACAUUUUCACUGUGUCAUUAAAGAGCUAGCUUAGGAAAUAAGAAUAAGUAACUGCAAAUCAGAAUGUAAAACAUUUAUUUUUAUGUGCCAUUCAACGUGUGAACAAUACAGGUGCAGGAAAUAAGAUGCUUUGUUUGAAUUAUUCUUUUCUGCUGAAAAAUAUGUAAUGAAGGAAUUUGCAUGACUAAUAUACAUUUUUGGCCAGAGUUUCUACAUUGCCAAAAUUUUACUGUGGUUUCAGCUGCAUUUGAAUGUGCGUGGGGGAAAAAAUAAAGUUUUGAGUAAGCCAUAAACACGAUUGCUUUUCAAUAAGCAAUAUACUUACCAACAGUGCAUUUAAAUCGCUAUAAUAUUAUUAUAUAAACUUAAUGGUUUUAUUUGGCAAAAAGCUAUUUUACUAUGCCAUUUCAUUAAAACAAAGCUUCUUAGAGUGCACAUUUUCAAGAGAGACAGAAAGAGAAAGAGAGAAGAAAGUUAGGUUCUUAUGGUCACAGAAUUUUAAUCUUCAGAAUAAUAUUAUGACACUGAAGUAUGUAUCCAUACUAGAAAGUAAAAUUAGAAUUAGAAUAAAUA
rnacentral:lncRNA from 1 species